rnacentral:rRNA from 1 species
UACUCCUACGGGAGGCAGCAGUGGGGAAUUUUGGACAAUGGGGGCAACCCUGAUCCAGCCAUGCCGCGUGAGUGAAGAAGGCCUUCGGGUUGUAAAGCUCUUUCAGUCGGAACGAAACGGUUCGCUCUAACAUAGCGUGCUAAUGAC